rnacentral:rRNA from 1 species
UACAGAGGGUGCGAGCGUUAAUCGGAAUUACUGGGCGUAAAGCGCGCGUAGGCGGCUUUGCAAGUCGGGUGUGAAAUCCCCAGGCUUAACCUGGGAACUGCAUUCGAGACUGCAUUGCUAGAGUAUGGGAGAGGGAAGUGGAAUUUCCGGUGUAGCGGUGAAAUGCGUAGAUAUCGGAAGGAACAGCAGUGGCGAAAGCGACGUCCUGGACCAAUACUGACGCUCAUGUGCGAAAGCGUGGGGAGCAAACAGG